AGGCUGGAGGUGUAAGCACAGUAAUGUGUUCAGCUUACCAGUACUAAUUGACCGUGAGCCUUGACCUCUUUAUCCUU
rnacentral:rRNA from 1 species